AUUAAAAUAUUAUUAAUAUGCUGUUUUAAUAGGGGUUAAAACUUCAGUUUUUUAACAAUUGUCUCAUGGAUUCGUGGUAUAGCGUUACUUAAUAUCAAUUAUAAACUGUAAAAUAUAAAUAUUUUAUAAAA
rnacentral:sRNA from 1 species